AUUCGAGAGGCUGCAGAGCCGCUUUCGCCUGGCCGCCUUGCCCCAUCGUCGGACUUUGGUCCGAAUCGCAUCGGACGAUCGUCCGACCCGUGAAAGCGAAACGUCUGAACCAACUCGAUUGCAGUUGACGCACUGACCAGACCGUGAACAAAGAUGGCGCAACAGCUGGCGAAAGCGAAUGUUGGGCUUUCCCGGUGGACUGUUGUCGCGUCGGCGGCGAUGCCGACGAUCGGUGAAAGCGUCAAUGCAUUCGCGAGACCGCGAUCAGGCGCAGGCCGGUAAAACUCUUCAGGAGGAGCGUGAUGGUCACGCGUCGAAACUUUCUCGCAGCACUGUGCUGGGUUUCGGUCGGCCUUCCCGUCGCCGUAUCGCCUUACAAAAUCGCGCUGUCGGGCUCAGGCAUCGAACUGGAACCGCAGUCCGCUCUCGCCAAG
rnacentral:sRNA from 1 species